CGGAUUGCGGUCAAAAGGCUAGACGCCUUAUUUGGGAUAAGGAGGAUACGAGUUCGAAUCUCGUCAAUCCGA
rnacentral:tRNA from 3 species